rnacentral:rRNA from 1 species
UACAAAGGGGGCUAGCGUUGCUCGGAAUUACUGGGCGUAAAGCGCACGUAGGCGGCUUUCUAAGUCGGGGGUGAAAUCCUGGAGCUCAACUCCAGAACUGCCUUCGAUACUGGAAAGCUCGAGUCCGGGAGAGGUGAGUGGAACUGCGAGUGUAGAGGUGAAAUUCGUAGAUAUUCGCAAGAACACCAGUGGGCGAAAGGCGGC